AACCCUGAGGCCCGCUCCUCCCAUAAUGAGGGGUUCCCAGGAUGGAGGCUUGGCCCCAAACUUGGGAGGCCCUGACCCCAGCCCCCCCGAUCACCCUCAAAUUCUAGAGCCCAGUCCCCUUCCUCUCCCCCCAGGGCCACCCUAUACCCAGCCCAGUGCCCGGCCCUCAGGACCUUGAGUGAAUGGGGGCUCCCAGGUGCCACAGAUUGUGGCCCCGGGAGACUGAACUGCACCACCUCCAAACCACUCUGGCUGCUGAAUGCAGGGAUUGGCAGAUGCCGCCUGAUCUCUUCCUCCUUUGACCUCCUGUCUUCCUCUGUCUUCCUCCUGAACACCUUGGCAUGAAAUGAGAAAAAAAUGCUUUUUUUUCUUUUUUCAAUCCCAUACACUUACUCUCUGAUUCCCUUCUGCCUUUGACCCACAAGAUGUGUUCGUUUUCCCGCUGUGUUUUGGGAAGGGGAGCUCCCUGUUCUCUCUAAUUGCAGGCUGCUCAGACAAAGCCACAAGGCCCGGGGGCAGGGGCCCGCCCCAGGCUUUGGAAGGAAGCCAUGGACGGUCCAGUGAGGUUCUGAUGUGGCCCCAGGGACCCGACCGCAGCCCUUGCAGCAUCUCCAAGGCUCUCAGAUUCACAAGUCACCCGCAUGGAGGUCUGCCUCCCCACCCAGACCAGCCACCUCUGUAGAGAACUAGACGGAGACCCGGGGAGCAUCCAGAGGCCAGACGCAAAAAUCUGCAUCCAUGGGCAGAGCCUCACAGCAGGAGUCAGUAGGAAAGGAGCUGACUGGUCCAGCUGACUACACUGGCCGUCCUUUCAGAUCAUUUAGGACCUAGAAGGCCCUUUUCUUUUGCUCUUUAUAUAUUUGUGGAGCCCCACCUGUGUACCUGACACUGUCCUAGGCACCAAGGACUCAGUGGGAAAUAAAACUCCCAGGACCUGC